GCUGUGGGCUUCCUGGCAUGAGGAGGAUGAGCAGGUGAGUGUCUGGCAUCUGGAGCAAUACGUGAACCUGCUGCUAUCACAGGAGGGCAGCCCCAGCCCCAGCCCCAGCGCCCCUGUCCUGGUGAGGAACAAGCUCCCAGCCCCGGGGGACCACAGAAAAUAUCUUCUCAACUCAGCUUAGAAAGCUUUCAGUUUGGAGCACACAGGGCAGAGGUUCUGUGAGGGUCACAUGGCCCCAUUUCACAGGGUCAGGUCACUGGCCCUGGACUCCUCCCUUUACGAGCCCAAGGUCAACGUUACACCUGCCCCGGAACUGCAGCGCACAGCAGUUCCCUGUAUCCUCUCACCUGGGGCUCCACCUCUUCCCGGGCCCAGGGAGGCUGUUUGCUCCGCCCUGCAAGCUAUCAGCUGGUCCUGCUGCCCUUCACCUGCCCCAAGGCUGAAGGAGGGCUCUGCAGAGGGCUGUCUUCAGAAUGGACGGUGCAAGUGGGGGCCCCUGACGCUGCAGAAACACUUUUAAUGCAUGUGGCGUGGCCUCCCUGGGGAGGCAUGGGGAGUGCCCAGGACCGGGGGCUUCCCGGACAGCUCAGCACUCUCGGGGGUGCUGCGUGCCCCUGCCAUAUUCAUGCCUGUGUCCCCGCUGGACAGCGAGCACCUGGCAUUUCCUGGGCUCCUUCCUUUCCACGUCCAGGGUGCAGCCACGUGCAUCCUCCUGGCAUUUAUUUAACUUCACUGGAGUCCACUGGAGGACGUCAAGGCCCGAGGAGCAAACAGGAGCCCCCAAGAACACGGAAGGCCAGCGAAGACAGAGGGCGUGUGAGGAGGGUGGAUGACUCCCAGUGCCAGAGCCGGAACCCGCAUACUGCAGGCCCCACAGGCUGGAGUGCAAUGGCGCGAUCUCGGCUCACUACAACCUCCAUCUCCUGGAUUCACGUGAUUGUCCUGCCUCAGCCUCCUGAGUAGCUGGGAUUACAGGCGCAUGCCACCAUGCCCGGCUAAUUUUUGUAUUUUUAAUAAAGAUGGAGUUUUUACCA
rnacentral:lncRNA from 13 species